GGGGAAGGCGAGGCCUGGAGGCGAUCUCUUCCCGCCUGGUCUCAUUUGGCUGUUCUGGCCAACAGCCUGCGACCUGCUGUGGAGUCGCUGCGAGCACAAGGCGACCUGAGCGUCGCGGCUGUCUUCCCCACCGGGGCUGCCGGGCUCUCACUGCCACCUCGCUGGCUUCUUCCUAGCUGAAAUUUCUGGAAUUCAGACAGUGUCUUUCACCAUAACUCUUGAACGUGGCCAUCCUAAAGGUGCUGGGAAGCCCAGGCCUGCCGAGCAAUCCCUGCUCUGGCGGAAGGAUUUGCCGAUGACCUCUCAGCUUCUUCCUGGCUUAUGCAGUGAGGUAAGAAGAUCCAAAUCUCCGUAGACCCAUU